AGUUGAGUUGAGUUGAGUUGUUAUAUUUGUUUCCAACUUGUAAUUAGAACAGAUAGCAGAGAGUUGGAUCCAAUUUGGCCUAAAUUUGCUGACUUCUUGUAUCAUAAGCAGUGUUGUUUCCACUAUCAUUCUAAGAAGCAACCCGUUGGGUCAGGACAGAAGUUUCAGUCGUUGAUAUUUGGUAUAAUAGAAGCAGAAUAGAGAACAUGUUGGAGUAACCUCCUCUAGUAACUAUUAAUAGUAUGAGAAACAUUGUGAACAUACACAUUCCGAAACACAAGAUAUGGUUCCUAUGAGUUGGUUAUAUGAUGAUAUCUUAAAUUUUCACCAAUUCCUACUUCCUAGGAAAAAUAUAAAGUCGUCUUUUAGGCCUUUGUAACAAGGCAUGUAGCACAUUAGUGGACUACAGUGGUUCAUUAAUCAAUUGGAUGUGAGUCUUUGCUGCUGAAUAUUGAAAAUUUUUACAACAGGUACUGCAGGAAUCUAAAAGGAUCCAAUAAUAUAAAGAUUAACUUUCUUUGAAAGCAGAAUUAGUAUAUGCGUAAUAAAUCAAUGACAAUUUUAAUACUAGCAAAUGACAACUUCAAACAAAGAGAAAAUUAAACUCAGCAUUCCUUCAUGGCUAACAUGAAAGUCUAAUCAAAGCAUUGUGUUCAUUUAUCGAAGCGCCAAACACACGGAGUUUGGAAGAUUUCUUUGAUUUUAGAUGUUGACAAUAAAGCAUUAAGACAUUUAACAUACUAAUGUCUAUGAAAUAAAUAAGCACCCAUCAAUUGUAAGAUCUCAUUUUAAACCUAUAUCAUAAUUCUGGAAUAUCUAGGCUUUAAAUUCAAUGGCAUUUGGAUUGGAAAUUCAUGCAAAAACAAAAUUUUCCAUCUGAUUUUACAUAAAUAAUACUUGUGUACAUAUGCUCUUUCCAUAAUAUCAGAGCAAUAUCAUGCAAAGGAGGCAUCAAUUGAUCAAGAUAAACUACAAUGUCACUUGCAGCUUUCAUUUUUAAACAUAAUAUAAGCCCCCCAUUUCAAGUCCUCCAAAGAAAGAAAACCACGAAAGCCAAAUAAUAGACACAGUUAUGUCAUCAAAUUAUAAACAGUUGCGUAUGGAAUAAUGUUUGAAAACUCAGUUCCACAUGCACAUACAUGCAAACAGAGAGAAACUAGAACUUCGAACAUCAUGGAUUCAACAGCCAUGAUUUCCUAGCUUCUUUCUAAAUUACCAGAUUGACUAAA
rnacentral:misc_RNA from 1 species